rnacentral:tRNA from 2 species
CCUCGCGCCGGGUACCGGCGUGCAGCACAUAGGCGUGCGGGGCGUCCUGGGCGGCGACCUCGUCCAGGCCGGUGAUCGGGUCGCCGGUGCGGGGG